rnacentral:rRNA from 1 species
ACGGUCCUUCACCCUUCGGGGUGAAGGAGAGUGGCGAACGGGUGAGUAACGCGUAAGUAAUCUGUCCCUAAGUAGGGGAUAACUCUGAGAAAUUGGAGCUAAUACCUUAUGUGGUGAUGGAGGUAAGGCUCCAUCACCAAAGCCUUAGGGCGCUUAGGGAGGGGCUUGCGUCCGAUUAGCUAGUUGGUAGGGUAAUGGUUUACCAAGGCGAUGAUCGGUAGCUGGUUUGAGAGGACGGUCAGCCACACUGGGACUGAGACACGGCCCAGACUCCUACGGGAGGCAGCAGCAAGGAAUAUUGUGCAAUGGGCGAAAGCCUGACACAGCGACGCCGCGUGGGGGAUGAAGGCCUUCGGGUUGUAAACCCCUUUUCUCAGGGAAGAAUAAUGACGGUACCUGAGGAAUAAGUCUCGGCUAACUACGUGCCAGCAGCCGCGGUAAUACGUAGGAGGCGAGCGUUAUCCGGAUUUACUGGGCGUAAAGAGGGCGUAGGCGGUUCUUCAAGUCGGAUGUAAAAUCUCCCGGCUCAACUGGGAGGGAACGUUCGAUACUGUUGGGCUAGAGGGCAGCAGAGGGAGGUGGAAUUCCCGGUGUAGUGGUGAAAUGCGUAGAUAUCGGGAGGAACACCAGUGGCGAAGGCGGCCUCCUGGGCUGUUUUUGACGCUGAGGCCCUAAAGCGUGGGGAGCGAACAGGAUUAGAUACCCUGGUAGUCCACGCCAUAAACUAUGGACACUAGGUAUGGGGAGUAUCGACCCUCUCCGUGCCGAAGCUAACGCUUUAAGUGUCCCGCCUGGGGACUACGGCCGCA